AAAUAUGUAAAGUAUGCAUAAGGUCUACCAUCGUAACUUUUUACAUCUUGGACCCAACGUUGCCAUCAAUCAUGCAGAACGACGCCGGUGAAGUAGUUGACCUUUAUAUCCCCCGAAAAUGCUCGGCAAGCGGACGAAUCAUCGGAGCCAAGGAUCACGCGUCUGUACAACUAUCAUUCAUUGAUGUAGAUGAGACAGGACGUGCGCUCACCACUGCGAAACCUUAUACCAUCUGUGGCGAUAUCAGAAGAAUGGGCGAGUCAGAUGACUGUCUGAACAGAUUGGCGAAAAAAGACGGCAUCAUGUCAUGAUCAGGCGAUCUUCACAAGGCUCCUCGAAAAUAAAAAUUCAAUUGAA